GUUUCUUCCUUCCACAGGUAUAGUUUCUAGAUGCUGAUUUAAUCUUUUAGUUUAGUUUUUUUUUUUUUUUUUUUUUUUUUUUUUUUAAACAUUCUGUAUGCUGCCCUUUUAUUCCAGUUUUAUUCUCUUUGAGUCAUUGGAAGAGAAAUAGCACCCCUGCCAUGGGAGCCAACCUCUCUCCAUGUGGAGUAGGCCUUGGGACGUGCUACUGAGAACCCUGGGAGAAAGUGUACAACAGAGAAAUGCCCCCUGGCAGCACAUUAUGGCUGUGGUUUAAAGCUCAAUAUCUCAAGGAGUGCUGGAGCUCCCACUCCGCUGCAUACAGAAUUGCAAAGAUGCUACACCUUGCUGCUUCCUGGCAGCAUCGAGCAGUUCACGGAGCUACGAGUUUCCAUCAUCUCCUCCACUCUGAGGGUCUGGCAGCAAGAUCCUGGGAGGACCCACAGUGCCGUCUGACCUUAACCUGUAUCCUCUCCCAGGAGCCCAGGGUGAGCCACCAGCCCUAGGCUAGGGGAGCCCACCCUUUCCUUCUUAGGGAGCACAGGAGCCUCUGGAUGAAGGGCUGGUGCAACAUUCAGAGUUCAGUAUUGAUCGUGUUUAUGAUUUAAACACUCAGAGACUGAGGAAUUGACCACUUUGAUGCGGACUGAUGGUUUCCUGAUGCUUUAUGACAGGUGCGGCCCAGGGACCUCUCCCCCAAGCCUGGGAGAAUCAUCCUCUGCUGUUAAACAGCUCAAUCAUUUCUCAUUCCUGGCAUCCUCACUGGUCCUUUGGCUCCUCCCUUCCUCCUCUCUUACCUACAAGUGCUGACCCUUCCUGGGCUGCUGCCAAACAUGACCCUGGAUACUGAGAGCCUUGGGCUGCUGGGCUACCAGGAUCAGAGUCAAGAAAGGAAAAGGAUCAACAUUUAUGGGGUGUCUUUUAGAGUACUAGAAUGGUCAUCUCAUUACCAACUUUGCAAA
rnacentral:lncRNA from 1 species